GUGGAUGCCCUGGCAGUCAGAGGCGAUGAAGGGCGUGCUAAUCUGCGAUAAGCGCCGGUAAGGUGAUAUGAACCGUUAUAACCGGCGAUACCCGAAUGGGGAAACCCAGUGUGACUCGUCACACUAUCAUUAACUGAAUCCAUAGGUUAAUGAGGCGAACCGGGGGAACUGAAACAUCUAAGUACCCCGAGGAAAAGAAAUCAACCGAGAUUCCCCCAGUAGCGGCGAGCGAACGGGGAGGAGCCCAGAGCCUGAAUCAGCAUGUGUGUUAGUGGAAGCGUCUGGAAAGGCGCGCGAUACAGGGUGACAGCCCCGUACACAAAAGCGCAUGUGCUGUGAGCUCGAUGAGUAGGGCGGGACACGUGGUAUCCUGUCUGAAUAUGGGGGGACCAUCCUCCAAGGCUAAAUACUCCUGACUGACCGAUAGUGAACCAGUACCGUGAGGGAAAGGCGAAAAGAACCCCGGCGAGGGGAGUGAAAAAGAACCUGAAACCGUGUACGUACAAGCAGUGGGAGCACCCUUUGGGUGUGACUGCGUACCUUUUGUAUAAUGGGUCAGCGACUUAUAUUCUGUAGCAAGGUUAACCGAAUAGGGGAGCCGGAGGGAAACCGAGUCUUAAUUGGGCGUUAAGUUGCAGGGUAUAGACCCGAAACCCGGUGAUCUAGCCAUGGGCAGGUUGAAGGUUGGGUAACACUAACUGGAGGACCGAACCGACUAAUGUUGAAAAAUUAGCGGAUGACCUGUGGCUGGGGGUGAAAGGCCAAUCAAACCGGGAGAUAGCUGGUUCUCCCCGAAAGCUAUUUAGGUAGCGCCUCGUGAAUUCAUCUCCGGGGGUAGAGCACUGUUUCGGCUAGGGGGCCAUCCCGGCUUACCAACCCGAUGCAAACUGCGAAUACCGGAGAAUGUUAUCACGGGAGACACACGGCGGGUGCUAACGUCCGUCGUGAAGAGGGAAACAACCCAGACCGCCAGCUAAGGUCCCAAAGUCAUGGUUAAGUGGGAAACGAUGUGGGAAGGCCCAGACAGCCAGGAUGUUGGCUUAGAAGCAGCCAUCAUUUAAAGAAAGCGUAAUAGCUCACUGGUCGAGUCGGCCUGCGCGGAAGAUGUAACGGGGCUAAACCAUGCACCGAAGCUGCGGCAGCGACACUGUGUGUUGUUGGGUA
rnacentral:rRNA from 1 species